rnacentral:rRNA from 1 species
UACGUAGGGUGCAAGCGUUGUCCGGAAUUAUUGGGCGUAAAGAGCUCGUAGGCGGUCUGUCGCGUCGGAUGUGAAAACUUGGGGCUCAACUCCAAGCCUGCAUUCGAUACGGGCAGACUAGAGUUCGGUAGGGGAGACUGGAAUUCCUGGUGUAGCGGUGAAAUGCGCAGAUAUCAGGAGGAACACCGGUGGCGAAGGCGGGUCUCUGGGCCGAUACUGACGCUGAGAAGCGAAAGCAUGGGGAGCGAACAGG